UUCAAGUCGAGUUAGGGUAAGGUUUCUCUUCUCUCUCUUUCCUCUCCUCCUCCUGUGACGACGAGACAGCGACUCCUCUCCUCUCAGGUUUUGAUCUUUUUAAUUUGUAUUUGGACCAUUAAUUUGGAGACAAGGCGCUCCUCUAUCUCAGCUAGCUCCCUUUCUCAUAUCAAUAUCAAGUACGAAUGUGGUUGCUUCCUCCAAUUCCUCUGUAUUUCAACUUGAAUUUAUAGAAUUAGGUUUUGUUUGCUGUAAAUUUGGGGCUUUUGUUCUCAUUGAGCUGUAGGAGGUUUGUGGGGUAAAUUGAAAUGCUUGAUAGAGGAUUUUAAGGGGAUGCAUGAUGUUGCAGAUAUUAUUUUGCCUUGUGUUAUAAAAUAUCUCAGCUGCUUGGUCUUUUAACAUUCUCCUUGGCUCAGAAUCAUUUUUGGGCGUACUUGUGA